GGAUUGCGGCGACACGAGCGGUUCGCUGCCCGCGACGUCGCAAGAAGUUCGCUGAACCUUAUCAUUUAGAGGAAGGAGAAGUCGUAACAAGGUUUCCGUAGGUGAACCUGCGGAAGGAUCAUUGUCGAAUCCUGACCGGUAGACCGCGAACUCGUUAAACAAACUUGGGGCGCUGGCUGGCGAGGGAAACCCCGCCCGCCCGCGCGCCAACCCAUCUAAACUCUCGGCGCGGGAUGCGCCAAGGACUACUCAAACGGAUUGCCGGCCUCCCCGCGGCUUCCGCGGGGCGAGCUGCGCGUCUGGUCGUUUAACUAGAACGACUCUCGGCAACGGAUAUCUAGGCUCUCGCAUCGAUGAAGAACGUAGCGAAAUGCGAUACUUGGUGUGAAUUGCAGAAUCCCGUGAACCAUCGAGUUUUUGAACGCAAGUUGCGCCCGAAGCCAUUAGGCUGAGGGCACGUCUGCCUGGGCGUCACGCAUCGCGUCGCCACCCCCCUCCUCGCCCUGCGCGGGAUGAACGAGGGUGACGGAUGUUGGCCUCCCGUGUCCCAAGCGGCGCGGCUGGCCUAAAUGCGAGUCCUCGGCCCGGGACGUCACGGCGAGUGGUGGUUGAACUCAUCAACUCGAGAGCCGUCGCGACGACGCCCGACGGGGAACUCUCCGACCCUAGAGCUCUUCGCGAGCCUCGACCCGCACC
rnacentral:rRNA from 1 species